CGUUCUAAUCUGCAUAGAAGCUAGAAGUUUAAAACAAGAGCUUCAAAACAAGAGCGAGCUUACCGGAGUGUUAGUUCUGACAUUCCAGAUCCGCAAGGUGCUAUCAGUCGAUGCGGACACGAGCUCCUCCGGCGUGAUGAACUUCACGUACGAGACGGUCUUUUGGUGGCCGCUAAAGGUGUGGACUGGCGAAGCAGGAGAGCGCAAAUCGUAGUAAUGUAUGCGGUGAUCGGCCGAUCCAACCUGCAAAUGCUUGGAAAUGAAUAAAACACCACUGUACCAAACCGAUAACUCACAAGAGAUAGAAAAAGAGUACCGCUACAAAAUUGCUGGAGCUGGGAUUGAACUUGACGCAGCAGAUGUUGGCUUUCAUGUCGAUUCCCAUGACGCUGCUCUCCUGUCGAGUAGACCACACUUUGAGCUGCAAGUUUUUCUCAAAGUUAGAUGGAAACAAAGAAUUUUCAAAAAGAUACGUUCUAACCUUGCCAUCGUCACUGCCAGAAACAAGUAAAUUGGGAUCGGUUCUAGCAAAAUCGACACUCCACGCUCGCUUGGCAUGCUCUUCGUACUCCAUGAUACUCUGAAAUCAAGAUAGGAACGGAAGCUCUCGCCCGUCUCACUAGGAUCUUGUGAUUGCUUUCGCUUUUGCAAAUAACAAUCUUGCAGGUCUUCAAAAUGUGCACCACACACAGAGGAAGUUGGCCGACUGUUACAAUCAAGAAAUCCAAGGAGCAUACCUGAGAAAGCACUCGCCUCUUUUUCGAAAGAACCUCACUUUCUCUCACUCCAGACGUUCCCUCGUCAUCAGUUUGCGCUCGCUUAAGACGAGCUUUUUCUCCAUCCGGGGAGCUCCCUUCCGCUUCGGACGCCUUGACACGACAGCGAGAGCUAGGAAGCUUUUGGUGAACAGGCGACGCAUGACGUUCUUUGGAUUUCUUCAAACUAGUCGCCUGCUUUUCAACAGCAGCAAUGUCUUCCUUGAGCCAUUGCAGGUCUGUUUGUAUCUGAACGAAGAAAACGUCGUGAGUAAGAUCACAGGUCCGGAGUUCUCACCUCGUUUAACUCUUGCUGCUUCUGUUGCCUCGACCGCUGCAAGAAAUCAUGCAAGACCUCCAAAUUUGUUUCAGUCAACAAACUCAAAAGUGUAUCGAUGUCUUUCAUCGAGAUGUCUGCUCCCUGAGAAUCACAAACAAAACAUCAGCACUAUAACUAAAAACCAAACUUUUCGACAAAAAAGACCUGUUUGAGAGCAAGCCGCAGGUGCUCUCCCGGUGACGUAGAGCUGGCAACUUGGCACACACUCGCCUUCCUCAAAUCUCCAACAGAGGAAACCAUGGAACAUCAAACUUCCGAGCAAGAUGGCAAAACAAAUCGAAGGUACCUUGUUGAGAAGGAAAUUCGGGUAGAGCUGGCCGCUGGUCAAGUAAGCUCCACAGCAGGGACAGUUGCUCUUGAUGUUUAGAUGCGUCAUGAUGCACAGCUGUGGCCGCAGCUCGUCAAAAACGCGUCUUUGAUCGUCUGGAUGCAUAUCGGGCACAGGAAAUCCCUGUCGAGCUCGAGAUUGUAGCUGGAGGCCUCGGUUCUCGUCCCACACACGGAUGGAACUUGGGCAGCGUCAGAGGAGCGAGCUUGCAUCUCCGUGAGCCUCUAUCAUUCUCUCGCCUUAAUAGGACGAACUUACAAGACCCCGCGCUUCUUCUUUUCUGCCUUCUUCGUCUUCUCGCCCGUCCCGCUCUAGGGAUUAUUGUUGUGUGAGAGAGCGAGGAAUGUCGGGCAUAUUCUAAGGGUGAUUACGUGGCCGGCCGUGAUUGGAGGACAUCUCAGGUCGGUAAGAAGCCACGAUAAGGGCCAUCCCGCCGUCCAGGCCCACGUGGUGUCUACCAGCUUCAACUUCGUCAAACCAACCAAGAGUCAAGUCAAUGCGUAGAGAUGAUGGUGUGAAAUGUGCUCCGGAAUAUGCUCUCUAGCUUUUGACGAUCGUCUCGGCCUCGGCGGAUGGCUCCAUAGCUCUCAUGGACCUGAGGCACGUCAUGAGGAAAGGAAGCAUCAAGUCGAGAGCAGCGGCCACGGUGAAGCGCCCCUACAAAAUGAAAGGAGACACUGCGCAAAGGAUGCUGUCCAGCGGUGGCUCUUGCGCUUACUCAGUGGACUUGGCUCGGACAGGAUUGUGAGUGCCGGGGAGGGGACGGCGAUCAAGGUCUGGGACUUCUCCCAGGCUCUCGAGUUUGAGAAGAAAACACAGGCGCUUCGAAGCGUCCGGAGAGAGCAGAGAGCUCAGCGGAAGCUCGCGAUUAAGAACAGGAGAAAGGAAUGACUGCCAGGAACUUCGGUUCAGGGAUAAAGGGGAUCGACUACACAAAGUUGGUAACGCUCGAUAUCGAUCUCAACUCACCGACAUUAUUUCAAAACAAAAUGGUCUUGAAGAUCAUGCUUCUGGAGAUUAGUCUCCAGUAAAAAACCUCAAUUAUUUCCAAAUAUCUAACACGAAGAUCAUGCCAAAAAACCAAAGUUUUCAAUAUCUUAAAAGUAUCAAAGAAAGAUCAAUCACGAAGAACCACGGAAAGAAGGUUGCGAACCUGUCGCAUCGUUGGCCUGUUUCCCGGAUUGCUAUCUAUGCAUCGCAGCGCCGUGACAAGCACUCUGGUGGCCUCCUCCGCGUUGAAAACUCCCUACAGCCUUGGAUCCACGACACCCAAGAGCUUCCCGGCCGCGUACUGCUCCUCCACCCAUGGCACCAGCAGCCAUGCGUUGUGAUCCUUCUCCUUGGAGCUCCCAAUCACCCGCCUCCCAGUCACAACCUCGAGCGUCACCACGCCAUAGCUGUAGACAUCCGACGCGGGCGUGAACUUGUAUGUGACCCCGACCUCGGGCGCGAUGUAUCCCAGCGUCCCCGCGAGCGUGGUGGUGCGUGAGCUCACGUCAUGGCUGGCUGUGCGCGCGAGGCCAACGUCGCCCAGCCUCGCGCGAAACUCUUCGUCCAGCAUCACGUUGCUGCAUUUCACGUCGCGGUGGAUGACCUGCUGCUCCCAGUCCUCGUGGAGGUAGAUGAGUGCGGCGGCGNNNNNNNNNNNNNNNNNNNNNNNNNNNNNNNNNNNNNNNNNNNNNNNNNNNNNNNNNNNNNNNNNNNNNNNNNNNNNNNNNNNNNNNNNNNNNNNNNNNNGUCGUAGACGAGGACGAGCUCGCGGUGGUCGCGCGCGCAGUGCCAGCCGCGGAGAGGGACAAGGUUACGGUGGCUGCGCUUGCUGAUGAUCUGGAGCUCCGCCAGGAACUCGCGCUCGCCCUGGUGCGAGUCCCGCACCAUCUUCUUGAUGGCCACCGGGGAGUUCUCGCCGGGGAGGAUGCCACGGUAGACCUUGCCGAAGCCGCCUGUGCCCAGGAGGUUGUGCUCGGGUGCCGGAGGUGAGCUGCGCUUAGGGAAUCUCGUGUGGCAGCGGCACAAGGUCCUUGGACGAGCUCUUCUUCUUCUUCUUCUCGGAUGGGAAGCCAAGUUUGCUCCAGGGAUUUUUGACAAGCCAGCUGACGACCGCGAGGAGCAGCAACGCGGCCAGGAACGCCAGGAGUGAUGCAGUGACGAUGAAGUAAACCUUGAAUCGAUCUUUCUACUUUCCACCAUCGACCACUGUCACUGGUGAUGGAGGAGGAAUCCUCUCCAAUCUGCUCGAGAAGUUCCAGGACAGGAUCCGGUGGAAGUCGAGGUUGGCGGUGCCAGAGCCGGCAGAGAAGCCCACGUACGAGACAUCGCUGACAUAGGCGCACAAAUUCACGCUGUGCUCCAGCACCGGGUCGCCCAAGUUCCGGAACGAUGGGUCGGAGGAGACGAACACUCGCAGCCUCUGCACGGCGGCAUCGUAAUCGAUUCUCGCCGCGACGGUACCGAUGCCAAGAGAGAUCCUCCGCGGAUAGAGCGAGCUCGAGUUCACGGACAGGAUCCCGUUGAUGUCGAGGCCGACGUGGUUGUCAUCGAUGUCCUGGAACUCGGGAUAGACUGGUGGAAAGUUCAUGAAAGUGUCGAAUUCCACCGCGACGAUGCGGUUGCUCGCGCGGCCAUUCGCGGCGGGAUCGAACAAGCCCAGCCAGCGGCCAUAGCCAGCGGAGGAGGUGGGGACGAGGUUAGGGGCGAUAGUGAACGCGAGGCCAUCGGCAUUGACCAGUGUGGAGUCGUUCUUGGUGAUGGCGAAGACGAACUCGGUGGAGAAGGAGGCGCCGGCGCCGGCGGAUGCGUUGCAAAGCUGGAUCUCCUGCUGCUUCAUGAUCCUGCCAUAGCUCGACAGGCGAUUGCCGGUGAGCCGGAGCUCGUCAUUGUUGAAGGUCGCGUCACCAGUGGCCACAAAAUCGUUGCGUGCCUGGGGCGAGAAGUUGCUGUAUGUGAAACUUACGUGAUCAUCAAGCGCUGCUGUUGCGCCUAGUGCCACGAUCGAAAGCACGAUCGCCAGAGCUUUGGCCAUUGGACCAACCAACGCUAGAAGAGCAAACUCGUGCGUGGUCGACACGGCUAGACCGAUCAUUUUAACCAGUGAGGCAGCGAGAGCUGUUGAAGCAUGAUUUAAUACUUUGAAGGAGGUCCGGGUUCAAUCCUCGGCCUGUUCAAGUCCAUUUUCCAUCGUCUCUUUUGUUAUCGGUACCUUGACAGGAUAGUUCCCGGAACUCGAGCCUUUUUUAAUUAGUGAGCAAUCUGUUAGUAACACUUUCGGUGGACGAUGUUUGGCCCAUACUCAUCGUAGUCUCCCUUGGUGAGAUGCUGGUUUUGAGGGAACACCACCUUGGCGAGGAUGGCGCCGCCAAUCCAUGCCGAGUAUUGCAGCGUCCGCUCUGGCAUGUACUCCGGAGGCUGCGAAAGCGGAGAGAAUGAGAAAGACGAAAGCCAGAAAAGUUUCACUGCUUCUUCUUUACCUUCACUACGGAGGGCCGCAAGGAGGGAGUUCCGUGAAGAGACACCUCCUUCUGAAAGCGAGCUUCAAAACCUGGGAAGUGCUUGGAAGGUGAGCUAGGAAAAAACGAGGAUGGAUUCUUGCCUUUCAUCGUUGAAGUGCCUCCACACAGCACAAUGUUCUCGAUCAGAGGCUUCUGGCAUUCGGCAGGAGAGCAGAGCGAAAGGCUUCUCACAAGCUGCUCCGUGAUCCCGUAUUCCUGGAUUUCCACAAGUGAUGGCUGAUAGAGCACCUCACCAAGUGUGUAUCUUUCACUUCCAACAGAAAUGACCUGUCCCCACAAACACGAGCUAAGAAAACAUACACAGCAGCAAAAGCUUACCCGACCGUCAGGUAGCGUGUGUUCUAUGACAGAUCCCUCAGCCACCUUCUUCUCGUAAUCCACAGAAUCGUCCAGACUCACUGCUACUGCUUCUUUGAUCUGCUCCAGCGCAAAACCAUCCAGCUUCGUGUGAGGAUUGGACUUGGCCAGCUUAGUCCCGAGGAGCUCUGUCAAGUCCUGUCCAGCGUACUCGAACCGCUUGACGGCGUUGUGCUGGAUUCCACCCUCCCACACGGGCGCAAUAUCUGCAGCGAAAACAAGUCUUGUGCACCAUUCGUUACAUUGUUACACAACGUUACCAGAGCCACUGUGAAUGAGUACCUAUUUUCCCAUGUCCGACGUCCACUGCACAGCCAGAGAUGCGUCCCACAGCAUACACGGACAGCACUGGUUGCUCCACGGCAUAGAAGCCAUUCACAUUGAAAGUUUCAAACAUAAGUUGGACGGUCUUCUCCCUUGCAAUCUGUCACAGAAAAUCAAGCAUGAGUUUCAAACAGUUCACAGAUGCCAUGACGAUGACAAGGAGUCCAAAAAAAAAGCGAAAACCAUGUCCAUGACUUGAUACAAAGAAGAAGUCAUGCAAAAAGAUAGAAGAACAAGGAUACCGAAAACCAUGUCUCCCUAGCUACGAGUGAACACAAAGAAGUCAGUCAUACAAAAUGAAAGAAAGAAGAACGAAGGAAACAAAGAAAGGACAAAAGAAAGAGGCUUGCCUUUCGUGUGAGCAGUGAGUCGGCAAUUAAAAUUUGGCCCUCGUUUCCAACCUCCCAGCCCAGGCCUGUGUAGAAAACAUACCUCCACAGGUCUUCCAUGGCUUCCCAGUCAUGGAUAGCUCCUCUCUCGAUGGGAUUCACGGCAUUCUCCUUCCAAUCGUCUCCAUUCAAGUCGAUCUUGUCGAUGUCGCCCUCGUCCGCCUUGGUCAUUGCCGUUUGCAUCACCUACAGGCGGAGCGCAAGCAUCUAAACCCAAUGUCGAUGGAUUCCUAGAGUGAUUACCAGCUGAGGAUCUUGCUCGGGGAUCGCGAAGCCGGCCUUGAGCAGCCUGGAGCCGGCGUCGAUCACUAUCGCCUCUGCUGCCAUAGCGGACAAGAACCCUAAAAUCUCUCGGUUUGCUUUAUAUCUCGCGUUCGAUUCUCCUGGCUAACAAAAAGCUAACGAAACUUCGUCGUUAGGCGGCCAUAACUAGAACUUUGAUGGUUCCCUGGCUAUUGGCGGCUAACAAAGUUGGACUGUCGCUCUUCCAACACACGGCGCUGAUGAAAUGCAAUGAGUCGUCUAAGCUUCCAAAUCGGUGUCGAGUUGCUGGUCUAGAAAUCGCCUGAAAAAAAAAGAGAAAAGUAUAAGAAACACUUCCGAAGAUGAGAAGAAAAAUUCGCAUUUUUACCUUGUGAUACACGAACACUUCGUUGGUUUCACUUCCACAGGUUACGUAGUCACUGUUACCGCUCAAACCAACGAAGUUCCUCUCGUUUAUAUGCCCAGUUAGCGUUCUAAUCUGCAUAGAAGCUAGAAGUUUAAAACAAGAGCUUCAAAACAAGAGCGAGCUUACCGGAGUGUUAGUUCUGACAUUCCAGAUCCGCAAGGUGCUAUCAGUCGAUGCGGACACGAGCUCCUCCGGCGUGAUGAACUUCACGUACGAGACGGUCUUUUGGUGGCCGCUAAAGGUGUGGACUGGCGAAGCAGGAGAGCGCAAAUCGUAGUAAUGUAUGCGGUGAUCGGCCGAUCCAACCUGCAAAUGCUUGGAAAUGAAUAAAACACCACUGUACCAAACCGAUAACUCACAAGAGAUAGAAAAAGAGUACCGC
rnacentral:lncRNA from 1 species